AGAGCAGUGUGCGGCUUCCGUUUUCCUUCAUUGUGUUCAGUUGUUGCCAUGCACCUACAAAUAAAAUUGCUCAGAUGUGUGAGUGCCUUUUGGACCCUGUACAAAUGUCCCACUUCACCACCACCAAAGCACCCCCAGACCAUCACAUUGCAACUACCAUGCUUGACAGAUGGUGUCAAGCACUCCUCCGGCAUCUUUUCAUUUUUUCUGUGUCUCACGAAUGUUCUUCUUUGUGAUCCGAACACCUCAAACUUAGAUUUGUCUGUCCAUAACACUUUUUUCUAAUCUUCCUCUGUCCCAUCUCGGUGUUCUUUUGCCCAUCUUAAUCUUUUCUUUUUAUUGGCCAGUCUGAGAUAUGGCUUUUUCUUUGCAACUCUGCCUAGAAGGCCAGCAUCCCGGAGUCGCCUCUUCACUGUUGACGUUGAGACCUCUGUUUUGCAGGUACUAUUUAAUGAAGCUGCCAGUUGAGGACUUGUGAGGCGUCUGUUUCUCAAACUAGACACUCUAAUGUACUUGUCCUCUUGCUCAGUUGUGCAUCGGGGCCUCCCACUUCUCUUUAUAUUCUGGUUAGAGCCCGUUUGCGCUGUUCUGUGAAGGGAGUGGUACACAGCGUUGUACGAGAUCUUAAGUUUCAUGGCAAUUUCUCGCACGGUUUAGCCUUCAUUUCUUAGAACAAGAAUAGACUGAUGGGAGGCCGAGCAGUUGCCAUACCAGGCAGGGAUGCAACCUGUCAGGAUGCUCUCAAUGGUGCAGCUGUAAACCCUUUUGAGGAUCUGAGGACCCAUGCCAAAUCUUUUCAGUCUCCUGGGGGGGGGGUAGCUUUUGUUGUACCCUCUUCAUGUCUGUCUUGGUGUGCUUGGACCAUGUUAGUUUGUUGGUGAUGUGUACGCCAAGGAACUUGAACCUCUCAACCAGCUUCACUACAGCCCCGUCGAUGAGAAUGGGGGCGUGCUCGGUUCUCCUUUUACUGUAGUUCACAAUCAUCUCCUUUGUCUUGAUCACGUUGAGGGAGAGGUUGUUGUCCUUGCACCACACGGUCAGGUCUCUGACCUCCCUAUAGGCUGUCUCAUUGUUGUUCGUGAUCAGGCCUACCACUGUUGUGUCAUUGGCAGACUUAAUGAUGGUGUUGGAUGCGUGCCUGGCCGUGCAGCCAUGAGUGAACAAGGAGUAUAGGAGGGGACUGAGCACACACCCCUGAGGGGCCACAGUGUUGAGGAUCAGCGUGGUGGAUUGUUACCUACCCUUACCACCUGGGGGCGGCCCGUCAGGAAGACCAGGAUCCAGUUGCAGAGGGAGGUGUUUGACUACGCUGAGCUGUAGUCAAUGAAUAGCAUUCUCACAUAGGUGUUCCUUUUGUCCAAGUGUGAAAGGGCAGUGUGGAGUGCAAUAGAGAUGGCAUCAUCUGUGGAUCUGUCGGGGCGGUAUGCAAACUGGAGUGGGUCUAGGGUUUCUGGGAUAAUGGUGUUGAUUUGAGCCACGACCAGUCUUGCAUUUCAUGGCUACAGAUGUGAGUGCAACGGGUCUGUCGUCAUUUAGGCAGGUUACCUUGAUGUUAUUGGGAACAGGGACUAUGGUGGUCUGCUUGAAACAUGUUGGUAUUACAGACUCAGACAGGGAGAGGUUGAAAAUGUCAGUGGAGACACUUGACAGUUGGUCAGCGCAUGCUCGGAGUACAGGUCCUGGUAAUUCGUCUGGCCCUGCGGCCCUGUGAAUGUUGACUUGUUUAAAGGUCUUACUCGCAUCGGCAGCGGAGAGCGUGAUCACACAGUCGUCCGGAAUAGUUGAUGGUCUCAUGCAUGUUUCAGUCUUACUUGAAUCGACACGAGCAUAGAAGUUUUUUAGCUCGUCUGGUAGGCUCGUGUCACUGGGCAGCUCUCAGCUGUGCUUCCCUUUGUAGUCUUUGCCUGUUUUAUGGUUCGUCGGAUGGCAUAGUGAGAUUUCUUAUAAUCUUCCGCUCCUUGAAAGCGGCAGCUCUACCCUUUAGCUCAGUGUGAAUGUUGCCUGUCAUCCAUGGCUUCUGGUUGGGGUAUGUACGUACAGUCACUGUGGGGCCAACGUCAUCGAUGCACUUUUUGAUGAAGCCAGUGACUAUUGUGGUGUACUCCUCAACGCCAUCGGAAGAUUCCCGGAACAAACAGUCCUGUAGUUUAGCAUCUGCUUCAUCUAACCACUUUUUUUAUAGACUGAGUCACUGGUGCUUCCUGCUUUAAUUUUUGCUUGUAAGCAGGAAUCAGGAGGAUAGAUUUAUGGUCAGAUUUGCCAAAUGGAGGGCGAGGGAGAGCUUUGUACACGUCUCUGUGUGUGGAGUAAAUGAAGAGUUUUUUCCCUCUGGUUGCACAUUUAACAUGCUGAUAGAAAUUAGGUAAAACGGAUUUAAGUUUCCCUGGAUUAAAGUCCCAGCCCACUUGGAGUGCUGCCUCUGGAUGAGCAUUUUCCUGUUUGCUUAUGGUGGUAUACAGCUCAUUGAGUGCGGUUUUAGUUCCAGCAUCGGUCUGUGGUGGUAUGUAGACAGCUAUGGAAAAUACAUAUGAAAACUCUCAAGAUAGAUAGUGUGGUCUACAGCUUAUCAUGAGAUACUCUACCUCAGGCAAGCAAAACCUUGAGACUUCCUUAGAUAUCAUGCACCAGCUGUUGUUUACAAAUAUACAUAGGCCCCCGCCCCAUGUCUUACCAGAGGCUGCUGUUCUAUCCUGCCGAUAGAGUGUAUAACCCACCAGCUGUAUGUUAUUAAUGUCGUUGUUCAGCCACGACUCUGUGAAACAGAAGAUAUUACAGUUUUUAAUGUCCCGUUGGUAGUAUAUACGUGCUUUCAGUUCGUCCCAUUUAUUUUCCAGCUAUUGAACGUUGGCUAACAGUACAGACGGCAAAGGCAGAUUAGCCACUUGUCGCCUGAACCUCACGAAAUCUCUGUUUCUUUCUCCAACGAAUGACGGGGAUGAGGGCCUGUUCGGGUGUUUGGAGUAUAUCCUACCUGUCCAACUCAUUAAAGAAAAAUUAUUCAUCCAAUUCGAGGACAAUGACCCAACACACCUCCAGGCUGUGUAAGAGAUAUUUUACCAAGAAGGAGAGUGAUGGAGUGCUGCAUCAGAUGACCUGGCCUCCACAAUCACCCGACCUUAACCCGAUUGAGAUGGUUUGGGAUGAAUUGGACCGCAGAGUGAAGGAAAAGCAUUCCAGGUUAAGCUGGUUGAGAGAGUGCCAACAGUGUGCAAAUAUGAAAUAUAUUUUGAUUUGUUAACAAUUUUUUGAUUACUACAUGGAUUCCAUAUGUGUUAUUUCAUAGUUUUGAUUUCUUCACUACAAUGUAGAAAAUAGUGAAAAUAAAGAAAACCCCUGGAACGAG